rfam:Mesocricetus auratus contig022903, whole genome shotgun sequence.
GUGUGAUGUGACUGAUGUGACACAUCUGUCACCCCAUUGAUCUCCAGGGUUGAUUAGGCUGAUCUCUCUGGCUAAGCUGGUAUUCCCUUCCUACCUAUCACUUCAUGUCCAUCCCUCACAAUGUUGUGCUCAGUUGAAAUGAACACUAUUCCUCAAAUAGAGGAGGACUAGUUCUUGGUCAAGGAUAUAUGAGUAGCUGCACUCCCCCUACUAGAUCCUCCAAACAAGCUCUCAAGGUCCAAACUUCCAUUUCCUAAUCCCUUCAUUUCUCCAAUAGGGGAGAGAUAUCCCCUAAUCCUCUAAUGGUGUAUUGGGGCGGUGGGGGUAGUGGGACUGGUCAUAUGUC